rnacentral:misc_RNA from 1 species
GAUAUUAAUAGGUAUUGAAACUCAUCACCAAAUUCACCAGCAAUGGAUCUCUCCUGUAAUCUCCUUCUCUUUUUCUCUCUUCUCUUCAUUAUAAUCAAUCCUUCCAUAGUUCAAUCAUCUUUCAGGCCCAAAGCUCUACUCCUUCCAGUCUCAAAAGAUCCUUCCUCUCAGCAAUACCUUGCGCAAAUCAACCAAAGAACCCCUUUAGUGCCAGUGAAGUUGACUGUUGACCUUGGAGGCCAGUAUCUCUGGGUCGAUUGUGAACGAGGUUAUGUUUCCUCCUCCUACAAACCUGUACCCUGCAAAUCAGUCCAGUGUUCGCUUGCCAAGUCAAAGAGUUGUAUCACUGAGUGCUUUUCUAGCCCAAGGCCAGGAUGCAACAAUAACACAUGUGCCCUACUCCCUGACAAUACCGUAACCCACACUGGAACUAGUGGUGAGGUUGGUCAGGAUGUUGUUUCCAUUCAAUCCACUGAUGGGUCAAAUCCUGGUAGAGUUGUUUCUGUGCCUAAUUUGAUUUUCACUUGUGGUGCGACUUUUCUCUUGGAAGGUCUUGCAAGUGGUGUCAAGGGAAUGGUUGGCCUUGGAAGGACUCGGAUAUCACUUCCUUCUCAAUUCUCCGCUGCUUUUAGCUUUGACAGGAAGUUUGCCAU